CCGCGCGGUGAUGAGCCGCUGUCGGCCCUCGAGUUUAACGACCAUGAGAGGAGCCACAUGCACUACCAGCUGAGCGCGG